rnacentral:rRNA from 1 species
CCUACGGGUGGCUGCAGUCGAGGAUCUUCGGCAAUGGGCGCAAGCCUGACCGAGCGACGCCGCGUGAGCGAUGAAGGCCAUUAGGUUGUAAAGCUCUGUCGAGGGGGAGCAAGCCGCAAGGUUGAGCGAUCCCUGGAGGAAGCACGGGCUAAGUUCGUGCCAGCAGCCGCGGUAAGACGAACCGUGCGAACGUUGUUCGGAAUCAUUGGGCUUAAAGGGCGCGUAGGCGGGUGUUCAAGUCCGGGGUGAAAUCCUCCAGCUCAACUGGAGAAGAGCCCCGGAUACUGUUCACCUGGAGAGAGGUAGGGGCACAUGGAACUUCCGGUGGAGCGGUGAAAUGCGUAGAGAUCGGAAGGAACGCCGGUGGCGAAAGCGAUGUGCUGGAUCUUUUCUGACGCUGAGGCGCGAAAGCUAGGGGAGCAAACGGGAUUAGAUACCCCAGUAGUC